rnacentral:rRNA from 1 species
UCAAGCUUGAAUUCGAUAGUUUGAUCCUGGCUCAGAAUCAACGCUGGCGGCGUGCCUCAGACAUGCAAGUCGAACGAUUAAGACUCCCUUCGGGGAGUGUAUAAAGUGGCGCACGGGUGAGUAACACGUAGGUAAUCUACCUUUGAGUGGGGAAUAACUUGGGGAAACCCAAGCUAAUACCGCAUAAUGCAGCGGCACCUUAUGGUGACAGUUGUUAAAGGAGCAAUCCGCUUAAAGAGGAGCCUGCGGCAGAUUAGCUAGUUGGUAAGGUAAUGGCUUACCAAGGCUACGAUCUGUAACCGACCUGAGAGGGUGGUCGGUCACACUGACACUGAAUAACGGGUCAGACUCCUACGGGAGGCAGCAGUCGGGAAUUUUGGGCAAUGGGCGAAAGCCUGACCCAGCAACGCCGCGUGAAGGAUGAAGUCUUUCGGGAUGUAAACUUCGUAAGAAUAGGAAGAAUAAAUGACGGUACUAUUUGUAAGGUCCGGCUAACUACGUGCCAGCAGCCGCGGUAAUACGUAGGGACCAAGCGUUGUUCGGAUUUACUGGGCGUAAAGGGCGCGUAGGCGGCAAAUCAAGUCAGCUGUGAAAUCUCCGAGCUUAACUCGGAACGGUCAGCUGAUACUGUUUUGCUAGAGUACAGAAGGGGCAAUCGGAAUUCUUGGUGUAGCGGUGAAAUGCGUAGAUAUCAAGAGGAACACCUGAGGUGAAGACGGGUUGCUGGGCUGAUACUGACGCUGAGGCGCGAAAGCUAGGGUAGCAAACGGGAUUAGAUACCCCGGUAGUCCUAGCCCUAAACGAUGAAUACUUGGUGUCUGGAGUUUUUAUUCUCCGGGUGCCGUCGCUAACGUUAUUAGUAUUCCGCCUGGGGAGUACGCACGCAAGUGUGAAACUCAAAGGAAUUGACGGGGACCCGCACAAGCGGUGGAGCAUGUGGUUUAAUUCGACGCAACGCGAAGAACCUUACCUACCCUUGACAUGGUCGGAACCCUUGAGAGAUCAGGGGGUGCUCGAAAGAGAACCGAUACACAGGUGCUGCAUGGCUGUCGUCAGCUCGUGUCGUGAGAUGUUGGGUUAAGUCCCGCAACGAGCGCAACCCUUGUCAUUAGUUGCUACGAAAGGGCACUCUAAUGAGACUGCCGGUGACAAACCGGAGGAAGGUGGGGAUGACGUCAAGUCCUCAUGGCCCUUAUGGGUAGGGCUUCACACGUCAUACAAUGGUACAUACAGAGGGCUGCCAACCCGCGAGGGGGAGCUAAUCCCAGAAAGUGUAUCGUAGUCCGGAUUGCAGUCUGCAACUCGACUGCAUGAAGUUGGAAUCGCUAGUAAUCGCGGAUCAGCAUGUCGCGGUGAAUACGUUCCCGGGUCUUGUACACACCGCCCGUCACACCAUGGGAGCGGGUUUCACCAGAAGUGGGUAGCCUAACCGCAAGGAGGGCGCCUACCACGGUGGGAUUCGUGACUGGGGUGAAGUCGUAACAACGUAGCCGACGAAUCUC